rnacentral:lncRNA from 10 species
AAAGAAAGAAAGAAAGAAAGAAAGAAAGAAAGAAAGAAAGAAAAGAAAGAAAGAAAGAAAAGAAAAAAGAAAGAGAAAGAAAGAAAGAAAGAGAAAGAAAGGGAUCAUGUACUGUGGAUCAUAACAUAAACAUAAAACGUUCUCAUGUUUACGAUCCAAUAUUACAAAUUCACUUUUCUUUCAAAGCUUUAGUUUAUGUUUUAAGAGGUUAUUUAUACUACUUUACUCUUUUUCUAUAGAAGAAGGUUUUUAAACCUGCAGGUUCUGCACAUGUAUCCCAGAACUUAAAGUAAAAUAAAAACAAAUAAAUAAGUAAAAUAAAAAUAAAAUAAAUAAAAAGAUGGUUUUUUAGUUUAUAUUCCUUAAUAUAUUCUUGUAGUUUAAUAUUUAAAAAGCAGUAAGAGUAACAUUUAAGGGCUUUGAAAUAUUGCUCCAUGUAUCAAAAAUCUAUCCAAAUUCAAGGAAAAAUGUGUUCAUAAAAACAGAGGACCAUUAAUAGAGAUUAAUAUAAAGAUUAUGAAAAAUUUU